UACGUAGGGUGCAAGCGUUGUCCGGAAUUAUUGGGCGUAAAGAGCUUGUAGGCGGUUUGUCGCGUCUGCUGUGAAAUUUCGGGGCUCAACCCCGAACUUGCAGUGGGUACGGGCAGACUAGAGUGUGGUAGGGGAGACUGGAAUUCCUGGUGUAGCGGUGAAAUGCGCAGAUAUCAGGAGGAACACCGAUGGCGAAGGCAGGUCUCUGGGCCAUAACUGACGCUGAGAAGCGAAAGCAUGGGGAGCGAACAAG
rnacentral:rRNA from 1 species